GUGCUGUUUCAUUGGGGCGAUGACCUUCUUUAAUCGAACGAAGGUGGACAAAGACUUUGAAUGUCUAAACAUCACAAUACUUUAGAAACCAGUAAGUCUAAAGCUAGAAUCUUGUUUUAAUGGGCAAGCAGCUUGGUAUCCAGUCUUUAAAUGCUGUCUUCAUGAUCUUUAAGAGAAGUUAUCAGAUAAAAGCUACUCAAGGGAUAACAGGCUUCAUCUUUUGGCUAGCUCACAUGAAAUGAAGGGUUUGGCACCUCGAUGUCGGCUUAUCUUGUCCAAAAUAUGGAGUCUCUAUUCUUGGUGGGAGUGCUCAUCCCAAAACAAGGUACGUGAGCUGGGUUCAGAACGAUGUAAAUCAGUUUGGUAUUUAUCUUUUUAAGCAACUUUGAAUAAUCUUUUCCAAAAUAAGAAGUUUUAUCUCAGUACGCAAGGACCGGCGACA
rnacentral:rRNA from 1 species